UCUAUACAGACUCAUGCAAUCUACGGCAGCAACAGAGACUUCCACCAUAACCCCAGGCACAGGCUGAGUGAUGGAUGUGACAGAUGCUGAAUGAUAUGUGCCUGAGCAAACCGCAGUGAACUCUGGGAAACCCGGAAGGAGAUGAUUAUCAUGAAAAAUGAUGUUUUAAACCUGUGAUUCAAUAUCCAGGAUCCAAGAGAAGCUUCUACAGUUCGGGCUGCAAAAACAACAGCUGGAGUUAGAAGCUCUGGGAGGUGUAGACUAGAGGCUCCUGUCCUCUUUGCAGGGACAGAAGGCUUCGCCUGUGUUCAUCAAUCCUGUUUCUCCAAAGCCAAACUGAGGAACUCAGAGGUGACGUGUAAUGAGGAAGGGAGCUGCCAGGCCCUUUGAGAAGAUCACAGUCAUCCAAAGCAGAGACACUUUAAAGCCAGGCAGAGUGGAGAUGCCACUUAGGAACUCAGGUGCUUCCUGACAAAGAAGAACACAUUACUCUUUCUGAAAAAGCUCAUCAAAUUGAACCUGCCCAUCACUGGACUUGUCCAUCACCUGGAUCUGUCCAUCAUCUGGACCUGUCCAUCACCUGGAACUGUCCAUCACUUGGACCUGUUCAUCACCUGGAUUUGUCCAUCAUCUGGACCUGUCCAUCACCUGGACUUGUCCAUCACCUGGACUGGGAAGCUAAGAAGUCCAGACCAAGAACCAGCUGAUUGUCCUGUAUCAUCUGGGUGGAUCCAAGGCAUCCCAAGGAUCCUUGUUAGGAGGAGGGAGGAGAGUCAUAAUCUCAGAGAGACUUGUGAAGACUGAAGCAGAGCGUUGAAGAAAAAAACGGUAGAGACGAUGAGAAUCCUUAUCUCACACUGACAGUGUGAGGAUCUGGGCUGGGUCUGCGAACACAGCCAGAACAGGACUCCAUGUGGAAGAACACAAACAAGUGAGAUAACACGGGUUAUAUG
rnacentral:lncRNA from 1 species